GACGAACGCUGGCGGCGUGCUUAACACAUGCAAGUCGAACGGAAAGGCCCCUUUGGGGGUCCUCGAGUGGCGAACGGGUGAGUAACACGUGAGUAACCUGCCCUUGACUUCGGGAUAACUUCAGGAAACUGGGGCUAAUACCGGAUAGGAAUCCUUGCUGCAUGGUGGGGGUUGGAAAGCUUCGGCGGUUUUGGAUGGACUCGCGGCUUAUCAGCUUGUUGGUGGGGUAGUGGCUUACCAAGGCUUUGACGGGUAGCCGGCCUGAGAGGGCGACCGGCCACAUUGGGACUGAGAUACGGCCCAGACUCCUACGGGAGGCAGCAGUGGGGAAUAUUGCACAAUGGGCGGAAGCCUGAUGCAGCAACGCCGCGUGCGGGAUAACGGCCUUCGGGUUGUAAACCGCUUUCAGCAGGGGCGAAGCUUGUGGUGACGGUACCUGCAGAAGAAGCACCGGCUAACUACGUG
rnacentral:rRNA from 1 species